CCUGUUCUGGCCUGCAGGCAUACAUGC
rnacentral:piRNA from 1 species